GUCAGGGACUACAGCCUUCUGUUUACUUCUGGACCCCUUAGAUGCUGUAAACGGCUUCCUGUAUCCUGACACACAAUUUCAGAAUGUUACAUUCUGUCAUUAUACUGCAACGAGGUGGUUUAUGUGACGUCGCUCUUCCCGUAUCUCCUCCUGACCAUUCUUCUGAUCAGAAGGCUAUUGCUACCCGGGGCUGUGGAUGGAAUCAAGUUCUAUGUCUACCCUGAAUUUUCCAGACUAGCAAACUUCAGUAUAAUGGUGUACAGUUUCCUGGAUUAGAAAAGAAGCGUGGGAGGAUGAAAGGCCCUUUUGAAAUCCGCACUGCUGUGAGUCUGGAAAUGACUUAGAGUUAUAAAUAUCAGGUGUGGAUCGAGGCAGCUAUUCAAGUGUUUUACUCCCUUGGUCCAGCAUGGGGAUCGCUAAUGACUAUGUCUAGUUUCAAUGACUUCAACAACAACUGCUUC